rnacentral:rRNA from 1 species
UCGGGUGUAAACCUCUUUCAGCAGGGACGAAGCGUUUGUGACGGUACCUGCAGAAGAAGCGCCGGCCAACUACGUGCCAGCAGCCGCGGUAAGACGUAGGGCGGCAAGCGUGUCCGGAUUUAUUGGGCGUAAAGAGCUCGUAGGCGGCUUGUCGCGUCGACUGUGAAAACCCGUGGCUCAACUGCGGGCUUGCAGUCGAUACGGGCAGGCUAGAGUUCGGUAGGGGAGACUGGAAUUCCUGGUGUAGCGGUGAAAUGCGCAGAUAUCAGGAGGAACACCGGUGGCGAAGGCGGGUCUCUGGGCCGAUACUGACGCUGAGGAGCGAAAGCGUGGGGAGCGAACAGGAUUAGAUACCCUGGUAGUCCACGCUGUAAACGUUGGGCGCUAGGUGUGGGGAGCCUCUCCGGUUCUCUGUGCCGCAGCUAACGCAUUAAGCGCCCCGCCUGGGGAGUACGGCCGCAAGGCUAAAACUCAAAGGAAUUGACGGGGGCCCGCACAAGCGGCGGAGCAUGCGGAUUAAUUCGAUGCAACGCGAAGAACCUUACCUGGGUUUGACAUCGCCGGAAAUCCUUCAGAGAUGGGGGGUCCUUCGGGGCCGGUGACAGGUGGUGCAUGGCUGUCGUCGGCUCGUGUCGUGAGAUGUUGGGUUAAGUCCCGCAACGAGCGCAACCCUUGUUCGAUGUUGCCAGCGCGUUAUGGCGGGGACUCAUCGAAGACUGCCGGGGUCAACUCGGAGGAAGGUGGGGAUGACGUCAAGUCAUCAUGCCCCUUAUGUCCAGGGCUUCACGCAUGCUACAAUGGCCGGUACAAUGGGCUGCGAUACCGUGAGGUGGAGCGAAUCCCAAAAAGCCGGUCUCAGUUCGGAUCGGGGUCUGCAACUCGACCCCGUGAAGUCGGAGUCGCUAGUAAUCGCAGAUCAGCAACGCUGCGGUGAAUACGUUCCCGGGCCUUGUACACACCGCCCGUCACGUCACGAAAGUCGGCAACACCCGAAGCCGGUGGCCUAACCCUUGUGGGGGGAGCCGUCGAAGGUGGGGCUGGA